UUAAAAUAUACUAAUAAGUUUGAUUCUGACUUAAUAUUUUAUGAGUUUGUAUAUUUUACAUGUAAAAUAUAUUUGUGAAUAUAAUUAAUAUAAGAUUUAUAUUAAUGUUAAAAGUGUACGCAGUUUGUUGUUUUAAGUAAUUUAAUGUUUGUUAGAUUUAGUAUUUAAAUUUAGGACUGGUUUAAUUCGUGCCAGCUGCCGCGGUAAUACGACGAGUUUAAGUGAAAUAUUUUGGUUAAAGUAUAAGAAAAUUUAUUAUAUGGUUAUUUAUUUAUUGUUUUUAGUAACUAGGUAAAAUUGGUUAAACUUUAGGCUUAAUAUUAGAUAUCGUUAUAUUAAUAUUAUUUGUGUAAAUUGUGUUUUUUAAACUAGGAUUAGAUACCCUAUUAUAAUUGAUUGAUAAGUUUUACCUGAGUAGUAUAUUUGAUGUUAGUGUCAUUUUUAGAAACUUAAAGAAUUUGGCGGUAUUUUAGUCCUUUUAGAGGAACCUGUUCUGUAAUCGAUAGUUCACGUUUAAAUUUACUUGGUUUUGUUUAAAUAUUUUGUAUAUCGUCGUUGUAAGAAUUUUUAUUAAAAAUGUUAAAUUUCUUGAGACUGAUUUUAGUAGCAUGUCAGAUCAAGGUGCAGAUUAUAGCUAAGUAGUAAUGGGUUACAAUAAGAUUGUAUUUAUUACGAAUGAUUAAAUGUAAUGUUUGUUAUGAAGGAGGAUUUGAUAGUAAUGUUUUUUAUUGAGGAAAUGUGAAUGUGGCUCUAAAAUAUGCACACAUCGCCCGUCGCUCUCGUUUGUUUAAGAUGAGAUAAGUCGUAACAUAGUAGGUGUACUGGAAAGUGUAUCUAGAUUUAUGUGG
rnacentral:ncRNA from 1 species